rnacentral:rRNA from 1 species
GAUGAACGCUGGCGGCGUGCCUAAUACAUGCAAGUCGAGCGAACAGACGAGGAGUUUGCUCCUCUGACGUUAGCGGCGGACGGGUGAGUAGCACGUGGAUAACCUACCUAUAAGACUGGGAUAACUUCGGGAAACCGGAGCUAAUACCGGAUAAUAUAUUGAACCGCAUGGUUCAAUAGUGAAAGACGGUUUUGCUGUCACUUAUAGAUGGAUCCGCGCCGCAUUAGCUAGUUGGUAAGGUAACGGCUUACCAAGGCAACGAUGCGUAGCCGACCUGAGAGGGUGAUCGGCCACACUGGAACUGAGACACGGUCAAGACUCCUACGGGAGGCAGCAGUAGGGAAUCUUCCGCAAUGGGCGAAAGCCUGACGGAGCAACGCCGCGUGAGUGAUGAAGGUCUUCGGAUCGUAAAACUCUGUUAUUAGGGAAGAACAAAUGUGUAAGUAACUAUGCACGUCUUGACGGUACCUAAUCAGAAGGCCACGGCUAACUACGUG